rnacentral:rRNA from 1 species
UACGAAGGGUGCAAGCGUUACUCGGAAUUACUGGGCGUAAAGCGUGCGUAGGUGGUUCGUUAAGUCUGAUGUGAAAGCCCUGGGCUCAACCUGGGAAUGGCAUUGGAUACUGGCGAUCUAGAGUGCGGUAGAGGGCAGUGAAAUUCCCGGUGUAGCAGUGAAAUGCGUAGAGAUCGGGAGGAACAUCUGUGGCGAAGGCGACUGCCUGGACCAGCACUGACACUGAGGCACGAAGGCCAGGGGAGCAAACGGG